AACGAACGCUGGCGGCAGGCUUAACACAUGCAAGUCGAACGCCCCGCAAGGAGAGUGGCAGACGGGUGAGUAACGCGUGGGAAUCUACCCAGAACUUCGGAACAACUGAGGGAAACUUCAGCUAAUACCGGAUACGCACUACGGGGGAAAGAUUUAUCGGUUUUGGAUGAGACCGUGUUGGAUUAGCUAAUUGGUGGGGUAAUGGCUCACCAAGGCGACGAACCAUAACUGGUCUGAAAGGAUGAUCAGCCACACUGGGACUGAGACACGGCCCAGACUCCUACGGGAUGCAGCAGUGGGGAAUAUUGAACAAUGGGCGAAAGCCUGAUCCAGCCAUGCCGCGUGAGUGAUGAAGGCCUUAGGGUUGUAAAGCUCUUUCAGUGGGGAAGAUAAUGACGGUACCCACAGAAGAAGCCCCGGCUAACUUCGUGCCAGCCGCCGCCGUAA
rnacentral:rRNA from 1 species